UACGUAGGGACCAAGCGUUGUUCGGAUUUACUGGGCGUAAAGAGCGCGUAGGCGGCGCGGUAAGUCACUUGUGAAAUCUCUGAGCUUAACUCAGAACGGCCAAGUGAUACUGCAGUGCUAGAGUGUGGAAGGGGCAAUCGGAAUUCUUGGUGUAGCGGUGAAAUGCGUAGAUAUCAAGAGGAACACCUGAGGUGAAGACGGGUUGCUGGGCCAACACUGACGCUGAGGCGCGAAAGCCAGGGGAGCAAACGGG
rnacentral:rRNA from 1 species